rnacentral:tRNA from 1 species
GGGCGGUUAACUCAAUGGCUAGAGUGUCGGCCUUACAAGCCGGAAGUCGGAGGUUCGAAUCCUCUACCGCCUACCA